AAUAAUGUAGUUAGUAUAAUCCUUUGAUUGUAAAUUAUUUUCCCUACUACGUAAAGCUGGUACAAUAGCCGUACGGUUUUUUAUAUACCGUAAAGCAUUCAUUCAUCAUGGAGUCCAGAACAAUGCUGGAUUAUCACCCUAUAAUUCUUGAAACUACAUUAGUUUCCAAUGCCAGUGGAUCGGCAAGGCUGAGACUUGCAAACUCAUCAACAUCUGGAAAAUGAAAUUUGCAAAUUCCUACAAAGAUCCUAUGCUUCAGGUGGUACUUAAUUAAUUUAUGUCAACUUUCUUUAUUGACACGACAGCAAUGUUGGGUCAUGUAUGUUGACAUAUUGAUAUAGCUGAUGUGAUAUUUCCACCAAUCAACAAUUUCUCAUGAAACAUUUUAAUGGUAUUAAAAAAGAUCAUGAAUCAAUGUGGAGGGAACCCUUAUGAUGCAGUGUCAUUGGCUGAGAAAUCGGCCCUUUAUGCAACACAAAUUCCAUCUAUUAAAAAAGCAACCAUGGACGGAUAUCAACAUGAACUGGAGCUCUCAGAUGAUCCUUAUGAUACCAAGAGACUAAACACAGAGAACAUUCCUUGUGUACUGACUUUGAUGAAGAUUUGUAGGUUAAAACUUUGAAUUUGAAAUAAAUAGUCUAAUACUAAGUUUUCAGGAGGUGGUGUCCUGGUGGCACGUUGCGAACAUGACGCUGUCACCGUUGGAUCGGCUGGUGAUAACCAAUUUAUCAACAUCAAAGCUCUUAAUGAAUGGGACUCAAGGUUGUCUGGUGAAGUCGAAUGGCGCCAGAAACUGGACACUCAGCGAGGUGCUGUUCAGGCCAACGAGCUGAAGAAUAAUGCAUGCAAGCUAGCAAAAUGGACUGUGCAAGCUCUGCUCGCCAACUCUGAUUGGAUUAAAUUCGGAUAUGUUUCACGUAUGCACUUACGAGAUACAUCGCGUCGUGUAAUCCUUGGAACACAGCAGUUCCACCUGUCAGAUUUCGCAUCGCAAAUCAACCUUAAUAUCGACAAUGCUUGGGGCAUUCUCCGUUGGAUUAAUGAUUUGUGUAUGAAGGAAGAGGAUGGCAAAUAUUUGUUGGUGAAGGAUCCUAACAAGCCCGUCAUCCGCCUUUACAAGGUGCCCGAUAACACGUUUGAGAGCGACGAUGAAGCAUUUUUCGGAGAAGGAGAAGGUUUGAAACCAAUCAAUAUCGUAACGUGCGUGUGUAACUGCUGGCUUACUUUUAUUGCUUGGGUGUUGGCCUCUCUUUUUUUUUACUAGCAAAGAUUAAAUAAACACGUCCAAGCAGUUAA